UUUGCCCCAGCAGUGCUGUAGCAGCGCCACCAGCUCUGCAGUCUACUACAUGUAGGUCUAUGUGCUGGGCUAGAAUGAAAAUGUACACACAAUGGAGGACCUCCAAGAAUAGAUUGGGAAAUACCUAUUCAAUCUGAUCAAUGAUUAGUAGGAAAAAUGACGAGAGAUUAAUUCAUUUUGCCCAGUAAUCGGUGUCCUCUUCUCAAAAGCAGAACAGACUGUUGCAAACUGCAGGAGCGCCAGGACCUGCGUCCUCCGCUCCAGCAGGGGGCGACAGUGCAAAAUUUAUCAUGCCGUGCACGCACAAAGACUAUAUAAUGACGAGAUGCUCAUGUCUCCGCCCUAACAAUUGGGUCAAAAAUAAACUUAGGUCAAAAAUAAGCACAUAGAAACGCAUUGAGCUUGUUUAGGACAGAUUUAGGCGAGAGUAAAACAUCUUGCUUCGCCUCAGUGCUCUUGAUAUUUUCGACUUUGUUUACGUUGGUAGCUAUCUAGCAAAAUGUCCUUCUCUAAAAAUGUCUAAAAUAGAGUUAUUGAGAAUGUUUCUAAACCAGAGAUUGAUAGCGGCAGCUGAGGAGAUAUUUGGUGUCGUUGAAGAAACGAUAGCAGAGUACCAGGAAGAGGUUUCUCGCACAAAGGAGGAGAACAGCCGUCUACGAAUAAUGCUGGAAAUCCGUACUAAGCCAGAGAUCAAGUUACAUAGACGAGAAGACCUCCAGCAGCUCACUGUCAAAGUGUUGUCAUGUUUGUGGUAAAUAUUUUGCUUGGGAUGCUUUUCUGAAAAGGCAUUUGAGGAGUCACACUGGGGAGAAGCCGUUUCGCUGUCACCAUUGUGGCAAAGGAUUCAGUCAGAGUGGAAACCUGGCUGUGCAUAUGAAGAGCCACUCUGGAGAGAAACCACAUCGCUGCCCUGUUUGUGACAAAUGUUUCAGCAGAAGCCCUGAUCUGACAGUGCACAUGAGGACUCAUACAGGGGUGAAACCAUAUAAGUGCCAGUAUUGUGGCCAAGGAUUCAAGCAGAAUUAUAACCUGAAACUGCACAUGAAGAUCCACAUGGGAAAAACCAUAUCAUUGCCAUCUUUGUGACAUGUAUUUCAGCACUAUCACCCAGUCAACCUGGCAUGAGAUUUCACAUGGUAGAGAAAGGCGUCACUGCCAUGACUGACAGAGGCUUUGCAUAGACUGGAAGUUUGGCAAGGCAUAAUGACAAUACACAAAAUACUUUAGUGUAGAAAACACUGACAGUAGACCUUGUUUGUGAUACAUGUUUCACUAAGCAGCUUUAUUGAGGAAAGUUUUUACUCGCAGUGACUGUUGAUAUGUGGUUGUUUUACCUGUUUUGAAUGCACUGACUGUAAGUUGCUCUGGGUAAGACAUAAUUCAAUUAUGUUUCAUUUUCUCUGCAUUGUUGGGAAGCAUUUCACUGUUAGUCUACACCUGUUGCUUAUGAAGCGUGUCACAAAUGAAAAUAGUUUGGAUUUGAUUGCACCUAAACGCUUCAAGUGAAUGAACUCCCCUGGAAGGUAUGAGAAGAACAUUCACAAGAGGGAGAAAACAUAAUGACCUGAUGAAAAACCUGAUGACAACAUGGCAGUCAUACCCUGUGUUGGGAGAGACUUUCAGACAAUACAAGAAGUACAUUAAAACAUCUCAUUCCCUA